GUUGCAGGAAUGCCAACGAUCAAUAUACAUUAUAUACAUAAAUGGCAUUGUUAAAUUGCAAAAAAUUCAAUACAUAACCUAAAAAUUAGGAAAAACUAAGGAAGGGGCUGAGUAUGAGGGUAGGUGAGAAUGCAAAAAGGAGUGACCUUGAGGGACUGAUUUACAAUGUUGUUAUUAUAGCAUUCUACUGGAUUGAUAGAAUGCUUUAGUACUAUUUCCUGUCUGGGUCAUAUUUAUUCUAUUACACAAUUAAUUCCUAGAGCUGAAAC